rnacentral:lncRNA from 1 species
AACACUUGAUUUUGAAAUCAUAUAUGAAAAAGGUCAGUUUGCAAUUCUAGUUAGCUUUUGUGAUAGUGAUUGUUGGAAUGUUUAAGUAGAAAUUCCUACUUAUUUCAUAUAUCCCACGCUGAUGAAGUAAAGGUUUCUCAUGCACUUAAUAACACUUAGCUUUCCCCCUCUAAUUAAAUUAAGAGAUGGGCCAUGUGGAGCAAUUUCUUGAUUAAGAGCAUGAUAAUUAUAUAUCUAAUUAUAAAGGCCUAAGGCCUCUGGACUCUUUCAAUUAAUCAUUAAAACCUAGUUUAAUUCAGUCAUAUCCUUUCCUAAAUGAUAAGUCUGAUGAGAAACAGUUUGUAACUGCUCACACUUGUUAGCAUUAGGUCAACGUGUUUUAUAGAAACACACCAUCACAUUGACAAAAAAAUAAUCAUCAACCCCAAACUUCCAUACUAGUCUUCUUAUUGAGAACCACAUUGAUUUUCACCAGCAAUCAAAGUCUCGGUGCUGUGAUUUUGAUUCAGACUAUUGAACCCUAGUAAAGCGGAUGCCUAACGAACUACAAGCACUGAGUAGAGGCGAAAAUUUGUUUCAAGGACAUUGCAAUCCACAAGCCUCUGUCUACUCAAUGAGUUAGUGAAUUCAUAUGGAGUUUAUCAUUAUUCUUCGUUAUCUAUCAUCUGAAUUCAGUUUGUUAUGCUAUUAUUAUUCAAAAUCCAAUUAUGUAUACACUUGUUGUAUUACGUUAAUUCUAGUUUCUAGAAUUACAUACAUACAUACAUAUAUAUAUACACACACACUUGAUGUGCUUUACAUCUUUUAUAUAUAUUAGUUUAUAUUGGGAUUUUAUAUGAUUAAUUUCAUAUAAUAUAUUUGAAGAAUACAAUCUUUUUUAUCUAUUUCUAACAAUCUUGAAACAUAUCUUAAUGGAUCAACAAAAUGUGUCUGCGAAUGCUAUCAAUGGCUCCAAAAAUCCUCACUCGGAGAAGCCAGAGAAAUUUAAAGGAUUUGACUUUAAGAGAUGGCAACAAAAGAUGCUUUUCUAGCUCACAACAAUGAACUUGGCAUAUGUUGUCAAGGAAGAUGCUCCGCAAUCUAAUGAAGAU